AACAAAUCCAAACCUCCCAUGAUACCACUGAACAUUGCUCAUUGGGGGCCAUUGGCUUGCUGAUCUCUUCUCUCUGAAUGGCAGAUUUCUCACUUUGUUCUUACCCUGGAAUGCGAUCAUCCAGCCCUGAGUAUCAGAUCUAUUAUCCACCUUCAGUACAUGAAGAAAUUAAUGUGCUAAGGGUGAUGGCAGCAGCUUUAUCAAUGGCAACUACAUGCUUACCCAAGAAUUAUUCAAUCAUCCAUUACUUCUACCAAAACUUGCUCGAACCUCGUGGGACAUGGCCUCUUCGUUUGUGUUUCAGAGCCUGCUGCUUGUUGCCUCCAUCUGCUGGUGACAUUUUGGAAACGCAACAGACACUAAAAAUCGUACCUGGGAGCACAAAUUGACACUGGAAAGCUUCUAAGUAUCAUUCAGCAUACCAGAGCCUGCAGAUACCUGAAAAACCAGGCCUUAUUUGAAAGUCAUUGCUGCAUCUGAAAAGGCCUUGUGUGAAACCUGCAUCUGCUCUUUGAGAAUGAUCCUGCUGAGAGGCUGAGAAUCAGUGCUCAUCAUUUCCCCCUCACUGACACUUGAAUAUAUUUUCCCAGGAGAAAACAUUAAACAAAAAGAGAAAGAGAGAAAGGGAGAGAGAGAGAGGGAGAGGGAGAGUGACUGAGCUAGCUUUUCAAAGCAUAUUUCUCAACCUGCCCACAUCAAAAUAAGAGACAACUGGCCCUUUGAAGUUCAGGACACAGUCUUCUCUACCAGCCCAUGUGGAAAUAAAAGAAUCCAGCUUUGUAAAUCACACAGAUUUCUCACCUUGCCCACAUCAAAAUCAGGGACAGUGACCUUUAAAGCAGAGGUUUAAAGGUCCCCAAACCAAUCUCCAUAAAAAUAAGGAAAGUUCAUAUAAACUGUGUCUCCAGGUGCCUGUCCAGCUUUUCCAGUCUAAACCAGGAGACAUUGGUCCUUUGCUCCACUCCACUGAGGAAUGGAGAGUACAUUGUUGAGACUUUGAGCAAUGCAAUCUUCCAUUAGACUUACAUACACCAGCACUCAGUGAGGCAACUUUGCCACACACGUACCUCAGUUUGUAAACUAAGCCAAUCCCAGUGUUCUUGUAAGUCCUACAACACCAUUGUCACUAAGUAGCUCAAGGGAUUUAGUAACACCGAAGCAGAGGAAUUUCCAUAAUAAGAAUUACUGACCCAACAAUGGAGUGGUUAGUAGCUCAGAGAAAAAGCUGGCCUUCUCAUGAGUUAAAUUCUACCUGGGUUAUAGUUGGGGAGCUUGGAAAGUCCUGGCCAGGUGUCUUCAGUUGGGUCCCCCAAUACCUGCAAAAGAAGAGAGUGAGAAGAACAAUGACCUUUUUCUGCCCAUUCUUUACCUUGGUGUGGAGUUGGAGAAAUCAGUCUCAGUGGAGAGUGACUGGCCUUCCCCGUGAAUCAACACAGAAUUUCAUUGCCCUGGCUGGUGCUAGAUCUGCCAUUGUGCAUAAAAGACACUGACAUUUUAGCACUUGAUUAUGUAGCAGAAAGGCUCCUGCUGAGAUUGAAUGCUGCUGCUGAUGGGAACAUCAGUGAAGGCAUAUGCAGCCUCACUGCCAGGUGCCACUGCUGCCUGUUUGCCAGCCCAGGGGUCAUACAGGUGAGCCCUUUUCAGUGCUGAAGGUGUCCUCCCACACCAGAGCUGCACUGGGGACUUACUGUGCCUGCUUGCACUGGCAGCAGCUGCUAUGUUCAGCAGCAGCACAGGCUGUGAGCUCUGAGAGAAACCCUUGCCUUCUGUGGUAAAAAAGUAAAGCUGGCAGCCAGGUCUAGUAGCUGGAGCUAGAAAGCAGUGCAGAGGCUCAUUCUGAAGGAUACAGAGCUUCAGCAGUGUCUUUCACCUUUACUGGGGACUGUGGGCUUCAGCAGUAGCUGCUCGCUGAGUAAAGUCUGGGCCAGUAAAGCCUCUUCCAACUUCAUUUUAGUUGCUGAAAUGUGUGAGACUGAGCAUAUCUAGAUUUCUGCAGUUGCAGAUGUUUAGUGUUGUUAUUAUUAUUAUUACUUAGCACAUGCAAAGUGCCCUGUGCCUAUUGAUAUGGAUGAUUUGUGCUAAAGAGGUAAAGCCACAUACUUGAGUUCACAGCAUGUGAAAUGGCAGUAUAAUCAGUACUGCUGUCUCCAAGCAUUCAAAGCUUUCAUCCAGACAAUUCCCAGAAUUAUCAGGUUUCCUUAAAAAGCAGUGAAAUUUUAACAUGAAAAGUUUCAGGGUUUUUAUUCACUUUCUCUUCUCCAACACUAGAUUUGUCUAGCAUUAGCUACCCUUUGCAUAUGAUAGACAAUUCCUGUUCCUUAAAACGUGAGCUGAGAUGUAUGACAUGGGGAACUUGGCCUCCCAAAAAUUUGUAUUAAGAUUGCAAGAAAACAGGUAUCAGGGAAAAAAUACAUUAAAGAAGGAAGAAAUAUAAAGCCAGCUUGUGGUAGGGGUAAAGCAUCAGGUAAGUUGAUUGUUUUUCUCAGUCACAGCUGGGAAACAGCUGUGACAAUUGCAGCUACCUGGAGAAGACAGCCACAAGCAGGGUGUGCAUCUCACCACCUCUGUAGAGAAGCGUGCCAUGGUUUCAAACUUCUUCUGGACUCAGCCUGCCACAGCUAAGACUAAGGGGAGGAUCCUUGUCUCUGCUCACCUCUAAAAUCAGCCUUGGAAGCUUGAAAGCUCCCCAAAGAGAAGGUGUCUUGCAGUGUUCAGCCAGCUAAGGAUGUUGGAAGUUGGCUCGCACCAAGGGUAAUUUGACAGCCCUGGGUGAGGAUGCCUUCUUGACUGGUGUGUGUAUGAUGUGAGUAGGGCAGGUCUGCCCAAAGCAAACUCUGUAUGCACAGGAAAGAGAGAGACUUGAAUCCAGAAUUUGCUCUCUUUUUGCUAUCCUGUUAGUUUCCAGGAAGCCCUGCUCAGUGAGCCUUCAUUCUUCAAGGUUUCAUGUGAGCUGUCAAAUUUCGGUUCUACAGGCAUCAGAGGAAAUUGGGGUGUAUUUUACUCACCGCCCAGAUCUUCUCCAGCUGUUCACGAGUACCAGAAGUUGCUGCAAAUAUUGGCUGACCCUGGAUCAUUUCCACAAAUAUACAGCCUGCACUCCUGCAAGAAACCCAAGGAAUUAACUCAUUCACGGAACCCCAGAUGCUUUGAUAUUGGUCAGUACCAGAUAUCUAUAUCAGAAGAAUAAGCUGUAGCUCCAAGCAACACAUCAGGAGGACGGUACCAGAGUGUCACAACUUCAGAGGAGUAUGUCUGUCUGGGGAUGGACUGGGCACGAGCAAGGCCUGCAAAAAAACCCCAACAAACCAACAAAAAAAAUGCUGUGUUAGGACAGUCCUUCUACCUGUACAGUGCAUAGAUGAUAAUGAAUGGAAACAGGACAUUAUUUUCUCUUUAAACACAAGUAAUCUCAAUGCAGCUUACAAGCAACUGACAAAGAAAGUGUUUCUGGAAUAUACCUCUGGGGCAGAUCAAAUCAAGUAAGAGGCUGUGUUUUGCAGGGCUUUAUCAUUUGAGACUGAAGCAGCUAUCCCAAACCAAUGCCAAGAAAGCUUUUUGGGUCACACAUUGCUGUGGACUCUACACAUUACAUUAUUUUCUGAGCAGAGAGGGAUUGAUUCUUUGUUCUCUUGAACUAGUUUUACAUGGCAGUAAUUGUUCUGACUUAAAUGAGGUUAAUCCCUGUACCUAUCAGUAUAAAUACAAGAAAAGCUGGACUGACCACAGAAAUAGUUUCCUGAAGUUCAAGGAAAGGUUAUGCUUCCCUGCAUUAAUUUGCUGUGGAUACAGAUCUAGAUGCAUGCUACAGCUUUGGUCUGAGCAGAUAUACAGCUGUAUCCAAACUGUGACUCACCAAAGUCGGCUAAUUUGAGCUCACCGAGGCAACUGAUGAGCAAGUUCUGGGGUUUCAGAUCACGGUGAAGAAUGUGUUGUUGGUGGAUGUAAGCCAGGCCACGCAAAAGCUGGAACAUGAAGAGCUGGCAAAAGCCAACAAAAAACUGAAAUGAUUUUGCGUGACUUUGCAUUGAUAAGUUAGCUCUGAACUUUAGGAGAACACUGGAACAAGGCAGAGACAAAGCAAGUAAGAAACCAGUAAAAAUCCCAAAAAUGAGUAGAGCUGGCUGGAAGGAGAAAACUGUGGUGGGUUAUGACUGUUCUACAGCUUUCUGAGGUUUUCAGGGUAGGAUAUUUGGCCAGGAGGGCAAUUUAACUGCGGUCCGUAAAUGCACAUUUUGGAAAUUCAACUUUUCUUUAGAAAUGGACCGUUGAUUGCAGGAUCAAGGUCAGCUUGCCAAAACACAGACCCCAGCUUUCAGAACAGCAGCUGUGUUGAUCGCAGUGUUCAAGACAAAGACACAAGGACACACAGCCAAAAAAAAUGAAGGUCUAAGGAGCUGAAGGUUCGCCCCCUUGAGCCAGAUGGCAGCAGCUGACUGAGUUCCAUGGCCACUGCACAUGUCACCAGUGGAGCAGGGAACUGACUGACCUGGCAAUGGGAACUGUUGGCUUCAAGCUGGGAGAAAACAUGAAAACCUGAUUUAAAAAACACAGCGAAUCAGAUAUGAUGAACAAAGCAAGCAAGCAAGAAGAAAACCAAGCAAGAAAGGAAGCCAAGAAGUAAAUAUCUAACUCCCACCAUGAUGGUAAUCUAAAUAAGUCUGGUGUAAAAUAAGUUGGGCUGAAACAAGGUAUGAAGUUGGACAGUGGAUAGAAACAAAACACAACAAAAGUAGUAAGACUUCACCAGAGAAAAGAUAUUUUUCACCAGAGGUUUAACCUGAAGAGGAGGAAAAACAGUGACACCCAUAGGUCAUUUCUGUACCAGAAAAGUAUCCCUGUAACAUUCUGCACACUUAUAUCAUAUUGCAUAGGAAUCACUCAGAAAAAACAAACACCAUUUGCCAGCAAAAAUGAAGCAAGCUAGAUGACCCUCCUGAAGGAGCAGUAAAUAAUUUUGCAGUUCAGUUCCUGCUGACAGUGAGGAUUCUGGAUAGGAAAGCAGAGCAGCUGGCUAGUGUUUACUCACAGAAAUGCCAGUAAGUACAUAUUACAGCCAUGUGCUCCACGUGCUUUAUGAGCACGUCUGGUAGCAGAACCCUUGAGAUCUGUGCCAAAACUACUACACUGCAUCUCAGAUGUAUCUGAGCUUUAAGGAUGUUUAAAAUGUGAGGCCCCAAAAAACUUCAUUAGAAUUGGUGUUGCUUAACAACUAUCUGGAAAAAGAUGUGAACAAUGUGGCAACAUUUGAAGACGACAGAAGUAUUUAGAUUAGUUGUGAUAAGAAGUGUCAGUGAGGAACUUCAGAGAGAUCUGACAAAGCCAGAUGAAUAGGCGUUUUGAUAAGAUACAAAGUUAUUGUUGACAGCUGUAAGAUAAAUUAACUGAAGUCGCUCAGGAAAAGGACCCAGACAUUAACUGAGGACAUCUGCACAGAAACCUUAAGCCAGCAUGCAGCAGCAGUCCUGAAAGUUAAUUGAAUGUGAAGAUGCAUACAAAGGAGAGCAGGAGACUAUUACAUUAUCAAUCUAUAAAGUAAGGGUACAUGUUUGGCUGUGUUCAGAUGCAAUCAACCGAUCCCAAAAGCUAUGGGAGAAACAAAAGGGACUUAAAUGACUGCAAAUAUGAAAAUAGUUCCAAAUGAGAAGAGAGAGAGAUGUGAGUGUUUUUAAUUAGAGAGAUUAAUAAUGUGUUGUAACAAUAAGAGAAUAAAAAUUUGUGGAGAGAUAGGUUUCCUUGCCACAAGAUGUCAUUGUUCACAAAAGCUGAAUGUCCACUUGCAGGCUCAGAAAAUAGGAAGAGAGGCUAACUGAAAAAAGUUUUGAGACUGAGAGGGAGCUUGUUAUAUCAUCAAAGACAGAUUUUCUCCAACAUUUUUGUCAUGUAUGUAACAAAUAAAUAUUAGUAAGUAAUUUACAGUGACCAUACAUAGUGGAAAAUAACUCUUCCUCAUUCCUUAAGGGAUAUGAGUCUCCUAAAGAACUCACCAUAACAUUGUACGAAUGGAGUCCUCCAGGGUGCUGGCCCAUGUACUGUGCUAGAUCUGUGUGCUAAAUAAAAGAGAAGAACUUGAGGCAAAGCUGCUGCUGUAAAAUUCUUCUACCAACAAUGCCUCUUCUGUAAAUGGAAAAAUAUGCAACUGCUACAAUGGUGCCUAUUUCACCUGGGUGAAGAUCUGGUCUGAUGCAGCCCAUAAGCAUGUGCUUAAGUUCUGGGUCACAUCAGGAACCUGGUUGACCUGUUAUCUCACCCAGCAUUUAUGACCUACAGCUGCUGCUUAACAGAAUUCAUACUUGUGCCGGAACUAAUCAUAAAGCUGCAACAAGAAGAUAUAGCUGCUGUAUUUUCUUUAUAAUUUGGUUGACUAUCUGCAAAAGCAAGAAAACUAGCAAGAUUCAUGUGGAGAAUUUUAUUGGUAUCCUGGUCUCCCCAUGAGAGCAACUCACAGCUUGGUCAUAGUAAUCCACUGGGGUCAGUGCCAAAUCUGACCCCAGGUGGGAUGUGAGCUCAUAUCAUUAUUUCCUAUCCUUGCUGUGGCUCAAAAACAGUACUUUUAUUGUGUUGGCAAGGCAGAAAUGGAGGUAAAUAAUGUCUGCCACCCCAGUGGACACAAGACAUGGAAUUAAUUUUGCAUACAGCUGUCGCAUAUACAGAAAGAAAAGAGUAAGGCUGAGUGGCUGGAAAGCAGGAGAUCAAGAAGGAAAAUCAAUCACUGCACUAAAGCAUUACAACUCGUUUCUUUGUAGAUGUCUCACAGUGCAGUAAAUUCAAUCUGCAGCCACUUCCCAGUACUUCUCAGUACUAGCUCCACAGGAAGCUAGAAAAACAUCAACUCACCAUGUACUCAAAGACAAAUGUUAGUGUCUCCUUAGUCUGGAUAAUGUCAUGAAGCAGAACAAUGUUGGCAUGUUUCAAACGUUUGAGAAGAGAAGCUGGGAAAACACAAAAGGAAGAUCGACUUUACUGCUGCUGGAAGUGGAAGGAGAUCAUGCACAAAACAAAGCAGCGGAAAUAAAAAGCUGGGGAAUAAUAGUCCAGACUUGGCAGUUCUGUAAGAAGUGGAAGCUACUGAGCCUGAAGGAGGAUAGAACAACUCCGCAGAGAAGCAAGAAUUAGUGCUCCAGGCUUGGCAGGAACCCAACCAUCCAUCUCUCAGAGGUGGGAUCUUGCCUCUGUCAGAAAUAGCAAUUCACAGUUCCCAGGUGUCAGCUUAUAAAUUGAGGAGAAGUAAUUUCUUCAAGGUGAAUGCUGAGAGGCAGGACCUGAGAGCUCCCAGAGCCAGAACGCAGCAGCCUCCAGUCUGUCACUGAGUUUCUCAUCCUUCUCCCAUCCAUCUCCUGGUGUGUGCCCUCAGCAGGGCCCUUACAAGAGACUUCUGGAACAAACUGAGUUUCUACCAGUUUUCAGCUUCACAGCAACAAUAGUGCAAAAAUUGGCAGAAAGAAAUCACUGUAGAUAUAAGCUAAAUUCUGAGUUUAGUUCUGUGCAUAUUGGUUACUGUCUCUGGUUAAAAACUCUAAGAACAGAGAUGGUGAAGUUACUGAGUGAACAGUAAUUUGUUUGUAUUUAUAAAACUUAAGCAAGCUUUUCUUUCAGCCUAACUAUCCAAAAGCAUCAUUUCAACUGUGUGUCCCUGGUCCUUAGGUCCUGACAUGCCUUUGCUAAGCCUUGGCACAUCCAGGGUGCAGUGAUGCAGGGGGCAGCACAUGGAAGAGUCUCUGGGCCCAUACAGACCACAGAGCACUGACUUAUGGUAAGACAAAAGCUGCAGCCUUCUGAGCCUUUUGGCUGUGCACUGGUUUUGCUGUGUUAGAGCAGGCUCCAGCCAGCACGCUCAUGAAAGGAGCUUCUCAGCAGAAACUCUUCAUGGGGGAACAGCGUGCAUAGCUUAAUCAUUUGCUACCUUAGGUGUGAGACAAUACAGCAGUAAUUCUGUACAGAGGAGGAAUGUGGGGGAAGAGGUGAAGCUGGAAUUACUUUGCCUGUAGGUCACUGGCACAACUGAAGAAUCUCACCCAGCUGUUCACAGACAGGGAACACAGACUACACAGAGAGAAGCCACAAAGCCCUAAAAAAACAGAUGUCCCUGACUCGAGAUUUUAGUUCCGCUUCUGACAUAGCAGAAUAGCCUUAGAGCUGUUCCAGACCCACUUUUUGCUGCUGAUUAAAACCAAAUUAGUUUACUGUCAGACCACGCAGUGCUACAAAUUUCAUUCAAAUAAGGCAUGGGCGUACAAUCUUGUUUCAGCUGAAUUAGCUAAAGCACACAAUACAAAGCAUGGGCCAGCUGUGGGAGGCAGAGUUUUAGUCACACUUAAAAGCUGCUUUUUUGUUUUUCAAACAGUCUGAAAAAGAGAUUCGAAGAGUUUCAUGCUGGCAAAGCAAAUUUAUACUGGAUUAGCACUUUGCCUUUUGCGACCGUAACAAUUUCACCUGGUUCUAAAAGCCCUACUGCGAGUUACACUGUAUAUGACACAGCUGUGGUCUGUGUCAGUUCUGAGACCACUGAGCAGGAAGGGAUGCCUGAUUCAGCACAACUACGGGAAACAGCAGAUUGCAAAGCAGCUCUUGCACAGAGCUUGGUGUUGCUGCAGCUAAACUGCCUCUGCCAUUGAUACCACUCCAUUUAGCUACCACCAGUACGUUCCCAGCACACAGCACUAGGGACCUUCAGUUUCUCCACACUGCACCUAAUUGCCUACAAACCUAGUAGAGGUGCUCUGGCUAGAGCCCAUCUGCUACAGAACACGAUAACCUGACUGUGAUACCUCAAAAAUUCCAUAUGACCGGAGCUAUUGCUCCAGAGGGGCAGCACAGAGGGUCCACAGUAAAAUGGAGGAUUCAGCGCCUGUGCCUCAAUCAGGCUUCUGGGAAAGGCUCCUCACUUUGUUGCUUCUACAACCCCCUGCUGGGGUGUCAGGUGCUGCUGCCAGAACCGAGCUUUAAACGCAUUUUGUCUCUGCGGGGCUUCCUGGGGUGAAGCGUCUCUUUGUCAGGGGAGCGCAUUCCUCAGGGUAGCAGAGAAUGCGCCGCGUUAAUAAAUCUUGUGCUUUGUUUUUGCUACUGA